AAAAAAAAAAGGACAACAACAGAGGAAUUGGUAGCACGAGAAGCAGAAGCAAAAAGUAGCCUUUAAAGUAUGAGUAGAAAAAAAGGUUGGGAUGGACAAGGAGAAGUAAGUAAAGAUAAAGUAGUUCAUUGAAGGUAAGGGAAAGGAGAAGGCUACCGAGUGAGAGACUUGGAAGCAGUAUUUUGUAUUGGCUGUGGGUAAUAUAGUAGGUAUACCCCUGUAAU
rnacentral:misc_RNA from 1 species